UACAGAGGGUGCAAGCGUUAAUCGGAAUUACUGGGCGUAAAGGGCGCGUAGGCGGAUGAAUAAGUUAGGUGUGAAAUAUCUGGGCUUAACCUGGAGACUGCACUUAAGACUGUUGAUCUAGAGUAGAGUAGAGGGAAGUGGAAUUUCCGGUGUAGCGGUGAAAUGCGUAGAGAUCGGAAAGAACACCAGUGGCGAAGGCGGCUUCCUGGACUCAUACUGACGCUGAGGCGCGAAAGCGUGGGGAGCAAACAGG
rnacentral:rRNA from 1 species